GCCUUACACAGAGCUAAGACUCUGUGUACUGAUGUCAGAGACUGCUGGAAGGAAAGCUAGCAUACUUUUGAUCAUUGCGGAUGAACAUGGUCUGAAUACAUUUUGCAUCUAUUUCUGUUUUAACCUUACCGUGAACAUCACCUCUGGAAUUUAAACCCGUCACAGUUGCUUGCAAUCUGAGUUACUACUCUAUUCUUUCCUUUUUCUUCCUGCUAUGUUUUUUCCCCGUCUCCUUCCUAUGUGAUGACUUUUCUCUUAUGUUUUCUUGUCAUCUCAUCAUUGCAUGAGAUGCUUCUUCCCUGUUUUGUUUUUAGAAAUGUGUUUUGCAGACAAAAUAUUGUGUAAUUCUCAAAGGUCCCUCCUGGCUUCCCCCGUGCUGUUUCUCUGCUUGUUGUGUCUCACAUCUCGCAUCACCAGUCUCUCAGCAGGUUGUUUUCAGUGCCUUAUCAAUUGGCUGAUGAAAAACUAAUGUUCAAGCAAGCUGUGCAGCAUAACUUUUUUUCUUCGCUACAAUAUUCCAUGUAAAUGAGUACUGAAACAACAUUGCCUUCUAUGGAGUCAGAUUAAUGUUACUGAAGCUCAUGCAAUAGCAAGCCAUCAAGCUCUCUGCACGAAAUUACUAUUGGAUUCCUACUGCUUGAAGAAAAAAGCCAGAAGAAGAGCUUCACAAUUUAUGGGACCGAAUUUGUCCUCCCACACGGAAAGACUUGAUUAAUGUGGAUCCUGUUUCUGAGGCGACCUCCAGAGAGAUUUCUUGGAACUUGAUGGGCUCUUGGACCUAAACAAACUGAUGACUGGAGAUUUCCAGCCCACCACUUGGAUGAGAAUGUAUAGGUCUGCAUGUCAAGCAAAGGACUUGCCUCUUAUCUGUUAUGAUAGAGAGGAUUUAUUGCCUUGGAAAAAGGAGUUGCUCGCUAUCCAAUUCUCUUGAAAUAGUGGCAUUCCUAUGCUCGCCUGUUGGCACCAACGAAGUGAAUGCCAGGAAGCUCAUAAUGUUCUUAGAGGCACAAGGCUUUUGCUGUGAAUUUCCUGUAGAAAUUAUUUAAACAAAAAUCCCUGUGAUUUACUGGUCUGAGAAUUUAACAUUGUAUAGCAGGUUGACUAUCUUCAAAUAGGUGAUUAAAGAAAAGCCUUUGCUGUUUCUAAGGUUUGUUUGUCUGUUUAUCAUUCCUAUGAAACUAGGGCUCCUGUGUAACUAUGAAUGUUACAAAAACUGACUGAUUUCAGAACAUCUUUCCAGCUGUUUACUUUAAAAUAUGGUUCUGCAUCUUGAAGGCUCAGUAUCCAGCUUGUAAAAUUAUAUGAAUUUUGAUAAAACAUAUAUGCCAUUGCUCCAUGCACUGCACUUCCAUCAAAUCAAUAAGAGAAAUUAAAAAUCUUGGGAUGGGAUAUUGCCAAGGUUGCGGUCCCAAGAUAUACAAUAAACUGUAAGUUUUUUGUAUAACCGUAGAAAUGCCUUUUUCUUCCAGUUUCCCAGCCAUAUGAAUCUUUGUGCUUGUCAGAAUGUUGCAUUCAACAUAAAUAAAUCAAGAAAUGUCUACUAUGGAAAGUUGAAGUAACGGUGAUGUAUUUUUUUUAUGAUGUACAUUUUUUCUUUAAGGACCAAAUAUACUUUCUAAAGAGGCUUUUAGCACUUCAUCUUUCCCACACUCUUUAUUCCUUACUUUGCUCCGGGGAUACUGGAAGGAAAAAAAAAUGAACUGUAAAAUGCAUUUUCACUUACUGCAGUUCAUUGUUUAGUGAAGUUAUAAUGCUAUGUGUUCCAGUUUUGGAAGCUCUUUAUGGCUGUGUUUAAUUCUGAGCAUAUAUGUAGCCUCAUAUUUCUGUGUUGCAAUGCGCGUAGAUAUCUUGCUGAAUUACACUCAGAAUACUCAGAAAUAAACCCUUGAAUAUAUGUAAUCCACUCCUACACCUUCUCCCUUCCCAAAACUUAGUCCAUUUAUCUCGGUGUGUAUUUUGAGCAAUCUUGAUCAAACUGUGUAAAUAUAUGAGAAAUGCAA